rnacentral:rRNA from 1 species
CCCCACUAUGCCUAGCCGUAAACUUUUACUUACACUCAAAUCGCCUGGGAACUACGAGCAAAGCUUAAAACCCAAAGGACUUGACGGUACCCCACAUCCACCUAGAGGAGCCUGUCCUGUAAUCGAUACUCCCCGUUCAACCUCACCACUUCUAGCCUAUCAGCCUGUAUACCUCCGUCCUCAGCUUACCUCGUGAGUGAAAUCUAGUAAGCCUAAUGCCUCUACGCCAACACGUCAGGUCAAGGUGCAGCAAAUGAAAUGGGAAGAGAUGGGCUACACUCUCUAACAUAGAAAAUACGAAAGACUACCUAUGAAACCUAGUCAGAAGGCGGAUUUAGAAGUAAAAAGAAAAUAGCAUGUUCUUUUUAACCCGGCACUGGGGUGUGUACACACCGCCCG